GACGAACGCUGGCGGCGUGCCUAAUACAUGCAAGUCGAGCGGACCAAAGGGAGCUUGCUCCUGGAGGUUAGCGGCGAACGGGUGAGUAACACGUGGGCAACCUGCCUGUAAGACUGGGAUAACAUCGAGAAAUCGGUGCUAAUACCGGAUAAUAAAAAGAACUGCAUGGUUCUUUUUUGUAAAGAUGGUUUCGGCUAUCACUUACAGAUGGGCCCGCGGCGCAUUAGCUAGUUGGUGAGGUAACGGCUCACCAAGGCAACGAUGCGUAGCCGACCUGAGAGGGUGAUCGGCCACACUGGGACUGAGACACGGCCCAGACUCCUACGGGAGGCAGCAGUAGGGAAUCUUCCGCAAUGGACGAAAGUCUGACGGAGCAACGCCGCGUGAGUGAUGAAGGUUUUCGGAUCGUAAAACUCUGUUGUUAGGGAAGAACAAGUGCCGUUCGAAAGGGCGGCACCUUGACGGUACCUAACGAGAAAGCCACGGCUAACUACGUGCCA
rnacentral:rRNA from 1 species